GUAAAGGCUGUGAGCAGGACAAGUACGCUUGUCAAGCAACUGACAGAGAGUGAGGGUCAACGGCUGAAAGCCCUCUAGUUGGCUCCAAGCGGAAAACCACCUGUGAGCCGGCGCCCGAAAGCGAAGGCAGGCAAGUAAGGUGUCCCGGAGUUUCCGUUAUAACUAAUGAGGGGAAAACUAAUUGUUGUUUUCCCGAAUUCGGGUGGAACCACGGAAGGGUGCCCUUUCGUCCCGUUU
rnacentral:ncRNA from 1 species